AUUGAACGCUGGCGGCAGGCCUAACACAUGCAAGUCGAGCGGAUGAAGGGAGCUUGCUCCUGGCUUCAGCGGCGGACGGGUGAGUAAUGCCUAGGAAUCUGCCUGGUAGUGGGGGAUAACGUCCGGAAACGGGCGCUAAUACCGCAUACGUCCUGAGGGAGAAAGUGGGGGAUCUUCGGACCUCACGCUAUCAGAUGAGCCUAGGUCGGAUUAGCUAGUUGGUGGGGUAAAGGCCUACCAAGGCGACGAUCCGUAACUGGUCUGAGAGGAUGAUCAGUCACACUGGAACUGAGACACGGUCCAGACUCCUACGGGAGGCAGCAGUAGGGAAUAUUGGACAAUGGGCGAAAGCCUGAUCCAGCCAUGCCGCGUGUGUGAAGAAGGUCUUCGGAUUGUAAAGCACUUUAAGUUGGGAGGAAGGGCAGUAAGUUAAUACCUUGCUGUUUUGACGGUACCAACAGAAUAAGCACCGGCUAACUUCGUG
rnacentral:rRNA from 1 species